UGUUAAUUCCAAAGUGAAUGCUCAAGGAGGAAUCACACUUUUCAAAAUAUCGCAACACUGCCAGGAACAGAAUCCAAGUUACAUGGCCAAUUCAGUUAGUUCCCAAAAGGACGCCAUCAGGUCAACCAUUCUUUUCAACAAAUAGCAACAUUUUCACGAAAGGAAUCCCAGUUUCUCAGCAAUUUCACUUAGUUUUCAAUAGGUUAGGCCGCAAUCAAGCCUAAUUUUCAAGAUAUAGCAACAUUUUAAUGAAGUGAAUCCCAGUUUCGUUGUAAAUUCAUUUAAUUCCCUGUAGGACACAAUAGGAUCAAGUAUGCUUUUCAAAAUAUAGCAAUAUUUUCAAGAAAAGAUUCCCAUUUUCUGGGCAAUUUCACGUAUUUUCCAACAGUACAUGCUAGUAUCAACAGUACUUUUUAAGAUACAGCAGCAUUCUCAUGAACGGAUUCCCAGGUUCCUGGUGAUUUCAAUUAGUCCAUAGGACACCCUUGUAUCAAGCAUACUUUUCAAGAUGUAGCGAUAUUUUCACGAAUGGAUUACCAGUCGCUUGGCGAAUUAAGUUAGUUCCCAUUAGUAGGAAUUUUAACGAGUCCACUUUACAAGAUACAGUAACAUUGU
rnacentral:sRNA from 1 species